GGAUUGGAAUGGGCGCAGCCUGAUCCAGCCAUGCCGCGUGGAUGAUGAAGGCCCUAGGGUUGUAAAGUCCUUUCGGCGGGGAAGAUAAUGACGGUACCCGCAGAAGAAGCCCCGGCUAACUUCGUGCCAGCAGCCGCGGUAAUACGAAGGGGGCUAGCGUUGCUCGGAAUCACUGGGCGUAAAGCGCACGUAGGCGGCUUUUUAAGUCAGGGGUGAAAUCCUGGAGCUCAACUCCAGAACUGCCUUUGAUACUGAGAAGCUUGAGUCCGGGAGAGGUGAGUGGAACUGCGAGUGUAGAGGUGAAAUUCGUAGAUAUUCGCAAGAACACCAGUGGCGAAGGCGGCUCACUGGCCCGGUACUGACGCUGAGGUGCGAAAGCGUGGGGAGCAAACAGGAUUAGAUACCCUGGUAGUCCACGCCGUAAACGAUGGAUGCUAGCCGUUGUCGGGUUUACCCGUCAGUGGCGCAGCUAACGCAUUAAGCAUCCCGCCUGGGGAGUACGGUCGCAAGAUUAAAACUCAAAAGAAUUGACGGA
rnacentral:rRNA from 1 species